rfam:TPA: Bos taurus chromosome 10, whole genome shotgun sequence.
UCCCUGGUGGUAAAGUGGCUAAGACUCUGCACUCCUAAUGCAGGAGGCCCAGAUUCGAAUCCUGGUCAGGGAA